AGCGAACGCUGGCGGCAGGCUUAACACAUGCAAGUCGAGCGGGCCCUUCGGGGUCAGCGGCAGACGGGUGAGUAACACGUGGGAACGUACCCUUUGGUUCGGAAUAACGCUGGGAAACUAGUGCUAAUACCGGAUACGCCCUUUUGGGGAAAGGCUUGCUGCCGAAGGAUCGGCCCGCGUCUGAUUAGCUAGUUGGUGGGGUAAUGGCCUACCAAGGCGACGAUCAGUAGCUGGUCUGAGAGGAUGAUCAGCCACAUUGGGACUGAGACACGGCCCAGACUCCUACGGGAGGCAGCAGUGGGGAAUAUUGGACAAUGGGCGCAAGCCUGAUCCAGCCAUGCCGCGUGAGUGAUGAAGGCCUUAGGGUUGUAAAGCUCUUUUGUCCGGGACGAUAAUGACGGUACCGGAAGAAUAAGCCCCGGCUAACUUCGUG
rnacentral:rRNA from 1 species